GCGGGAGUGGCGGAAUUGGUAGACGCGCAAGAUUUAGGUUCUUGUAUCGCAAGGUGUGGGGGUUCGACUCCCCCCUUCCGCA
rnacentral:tRNA from 1 species